rnacentral:rRNA from 1 species
GACGACGCUGGCGGCGUGCCUAAUACAUGCAAGUUGAACGCUGAAGACUGGUACUUGUACCAGUUGGAUGAGUAGCGAACGGGUGAGUAACGCGUGGGUAACCUACCUCUUAGCGGGGACAACUAUUGGAAACGAUAGCUAAUACCGCAUAACAAUACCUAACACAUGUUAAGUAUUUGAAAGCACCAACUGGUGCACUAAGAGAUGGACCCGCGUUGUAUUAGCUAGUUGGUAGUGUAAUGGACUACCAAGGCGAUGAUACAUAGCCGACCUGAGAGGGUGAUCGGCCACAUUGGGACUGAGACACGGCCCAAACUCCUACGGGAGGCAGCAGUAGGGAAUCUUCGGCAAUGGGGGCAACCCUGACCGAGCAACGCCGCGUGAGUGAAGAAGGUUUUCGGAUCGUAAAACUCUGUUGUUAGAGAAGAACGUCAGUGAGAGUGGAAAGUUCACUGAGUGACGGUAUCUAACCAGAAAGGGACGGCUAACUACGUG